UAAAUAAACAACAAAUAAAUAUAAAUUAAAUUGUUGUAAAACUAUAUAGGGCGGAAGAAGCAAAGGCCAGAUAAAAGCAGCAAAAUGGAAGAGUGGAAAAAUCGAUUGCCAGACAGUUGGAGAAUUAGCUAUAACUCGAAACUAUAUAUACACACACACACCCGAACACAUAUACAUAUAUAUAUAUUUAGUAUAUAUAUAGCAUAAGUGACAGCAAUCAGCCAUGAAAAAAACACAAAGAGAUGAAUACAAACAAAGGAGGCUUACUUUAGAUGUUGCUGCUUGAAAACUACAAAUAGAAGAGAACUUAGAAAAUUCAUGAAAGGAAAACUAAGAAGAGAUUGAAAAUUCAU